CAGUGACUUCACACCUCAUGACAUCACAGUCCCACGGGGUGACAUCACAGAACGACAGGGAGACACCAAGCGGCUGUGUUGCAUCAUCUCUGUACAACCCCGCAACGUGCAGCGAGACAUACCCCCGGCGCAGGUAGGAAAAAAAGCUCUCUGCACCCACAAGCAACGGCAGACCUUCUAUUCAGCUCAGACACCAGCGGCACUAAGAGAUACCUGAGAGGGCACCGUGGGCAUUAGCAUGCAAAUCAGCUCAGCAAGCUCUGGAUUCCUGCCACAGAACAACGCACCUGUGAAACUCAGCAGAAAACAAGGAGGGAGACGAAUGUGUGGCAGCCGACACUUGGAAAUGAACUGGAGACCUCUAGAACUGAAUAUAUUAGCUCAAGCUGUUAGAGACUCGAGAACCAGGCACUCUGGGAUGUAAGAUUCACGUCUGUGAAACAGGACCAGCGGGGAGAUGUCUAACAUGCUGACCAGUGGGUUACACAUAUACUCCUGGGCAAAAACUACUGAUGGCUGCUGGAUGCUGCUAUUGCUCAUUGGCAGAGCCAGCUUGGACAAUCCCUGCAGGAAGCACAAGUGCAGCAAGUUUGCAAAUGGGACUCAGAAGUUAGCCCGAGGCACAAAACCCUGGAUUGAAAUAAGCAGCCAACACCUCUGGAAAAGGGCUUAGCUAUAAGGAAGCUCUGGUUCAGAGCUGGCUAUUAGGUUAUUGUGGGCCACAUUCCUGAUGCUCUUUAUAGUUAUUUAGAGUAACACCUUUGCUGUGUGUCUUUCUUUGGGAUAUUUUUCGGUCCUGUCUUUCACCAACGUAGGGAGGAAUCAUAAAUUCUAUUUCUUGUACCUCGUGGGGAGGGGAGCACUUUUUUUCUUUAUAAGCCAGCCCAGCCGCUUGGUCUCUGUGCCAGGUCAAAGCCAAAAUGUUUGCACCUGGGACAGUUGUUACAUUGAGGACUGAACUGGGAAGCUGUGGAGCUCAAAGCAUGAGCUGUUGUGGGAGUCUUCCAUUGACCUGCUGUAUGACCUUGGGCACCCUUUGUCCUGUCUAUUUAGAUUGUAAGUCUUUGGAGGCCAGGACUCACCAUGUGUCUGGGCAGCACCCAGCACAAUGGGACAAUGCUCUCAGCAUCGUUACUGUAAGACAAAUAAUACUCUCCUGCUCGACUGCCCCCAGAUCCCUACAGAAAACAGCCCCCUUCCUGGUCCGAACACUUGUCUAGAGUUCAUGUUCAUUCUCUGCUUCUCUCCGCAGUAUCCCCAUGGCUGGACAAAGAUCAGGGGGCGGGGGAGACUCUCUCUCAGCAGCCCGUGAGUCAGAAAGUCCAUUAGAGUCCCCGUGUCAGAAAUCCAUACUUGAUUAUAUCACAACACGUGAAACCGAGAAAAAUGACAGCCCCAUUUAAAGCUGCCAUAUUUGGUUAUGUGUGAUAGGAAAGACACACAGCCCGGUGGUCGGAUGGGGGCGGGCGGAGAAAGGAUUUGGAACUGAGGUUAAACAGAAAAUAAAAGACAAUGUCAUUAAGCUGUGGGUGUGGGGAGCUGAGACGUGGAGCCAACUCCUCGGCAGGACAUUUAUUUGUAGUUAUUUGUUAGGAACUCUCUGAUUGGAGCCGUGGAUUAACAUACGUCAGCUGCAGUUCUCCGUGUGCGAGGAAUGGGAAAGGAGAAGAGCAGGUGGGGAUCUGGAGUUGCCUUCGUCUGCUCUGCAAACGGAAUCCUUGAAGGAAAACUACAACGAUUAGCUCUAAUGCCUUCCCCCGCUAAAUAAAUAUUUACUGGUUUCAUUCAUUAA